rnacentral:rRNA from 1 species
CUUCGGGAUAGCCCCGGGAAACCGGGAUUAAUACCGGAUAUGACCAGGGAGGGCAUCCUUUCUGGUGGAAAGGUUCCCUUCUCGUGAGGGAGGGGUUCUGGCUGGGGAUGGGCUCGCGGCCUAUCAGCUUGUUGGUGGGGUGAUGGCCUACCAAGGCGACGACGGGUAGCCGGCCUGAGAGGGCGACCGGCCACACUGGGACUGAGACACGGCCCAGACUCCUACGGGAGGCAGCAGUGGGGAAUCUUGCGCAAUGGGCGGAAGCCUGACGCAGCGACGCCGCGUGGGGGAUGAAGGCCUUCGGGUUGUAAACCUCUUUCGGCAGGGACGAAGGUGACGUGUACCUGCGGAAGAAGCGCCGGCUAACUACGUGCCAGCAGCCGCGGUAAUACGUAGGGCGCGAGCGUUGUCCGGAAUUAUUGGGCGUAAAGAGCUCGUAGGCGGCUGGUCGCGUCUGCCGUGAAAGCCCGCGGCUUAACCGUGGGUCUGCGGUGGAUACG